UGGGUACUAGGCGUUGCUCGUAUCGACCCGAGCAGUGCCGUAGCUAGCGCGUUAAGUACCCCGCCUGGGGAGUACGCACGCAAGUGUGAAACUCAAAGGAAUUGACGGGGGCCCGCACAAGCGGUGGAGUAUGUGGUUUAAUUCGAUGCAACGCGAAGAACCUUACCAGGGCUUGACAUCCCGCGAAUCGAAGGGAAACUUUCGAGUGCCUUAGGGAACGCGGAGACAGGUGGUGCAUGGCUGUCGUCAGCUCGUGUCGUGAGAUGUUGGGUUAAGUCCCGCAACGAGCGCAACCCUCGUCCUUAGUUGCCAGCAUUAAGAUGGGCACUUUAGGGAGACUGCCGGUGACAAACCGGAGGAAGGUGGGGAUGACGUCAAGUCAGCAUGCCCCUUACGCUCUGGGCUACACACGUACUACAAUGGUCGGGACAAAGGGCAGCAAGCGAGCAAUCGUAAGCGAAUCUCAUCAAACCCGGCCUCAGUUCAGAUUGCAGGCUGCAACUCGCCUGCAUGAAGGAGGAAUCGCUAGUAAUCGCAGGUCAGCAUACUGCGGUGAAUCCGUUCCCGGGCCUUGUACACACCGCCCGUCACACCAUGGAAGCUGGCUACGCCCGAAGUCGUUACCCUAACCGUUUGGAGGGGGAUGCCGAAGGCAGAGCUGGUGACUGGGGUGAAGUCGUAACAAGGUAGCCGUACCGGAAGGUGUGGCUGGAUCACCUCCUUA
rnacentral:rRNA from 1 species